rnacentral:rRNA from 1 species
GCGUGUGACUGCGUACCUUUUGUAUAAUGGGUCAGCGACUUAUAUUCUGUAGCAAGGUUAACCGAAUAGGGGAGCCGAAGGGAAACCGAGUCUUAACUGGGCGUUAAGUUGCAGGGUAUAGACCCGAAACCCGGUGAUCUAGCCAUGGGCAGGUUGAAGGUUGGGUAACACUAACUGGAGGACCGAACCGACUAAUGUUGAAAAAUUAGCGGAUGACUUGUGGCUGGGGGUGAAAGGCCAAUCAAACCGGGAGAUAGCUGGUUCUCCCCGAAAGCUAUUUAGGUAGCGCCUCGUGAAUUCAUCUCCGGGGGUAGAGCACUGUUUCGGCAAGGGGGUCAUCCCGACUUACCAACCCGAUGCAAACUGCGAAUACCGGAGAAUGUUAUCACGGGAGACACACGGCGGGUGCUAACGUCCGUCGUGAAGAGGGAAACAACCCAGACCGCCAGCUAAGGUCCCAAAGUCAUGGUUAAGUGGGAAACGAUGUGGGAAGGCCCAGACAGCCAGGAUGUUGGCUUAGAAGCAGCCAUCAUUUAAAGAAAGCGUAAUAGCUCACUGGUCGAGUCGGCCUGCGCGGAAGAUGUAACGGGGCUAAACCAUGCACCGAAGCUGCGGCAGCGACGCUGAUGCGUUGUUGGGUAGGGGAGCGUUCUGUAAGCCUGCGAAGGUGUGCUGUGAGGCAUGCUGGAGGUAUCAGAAGUGCGAAUGCUGACAUAAGUAACGAUAAAGCGGGUGAAAAGCCCGCUCGCCGGAAGACCAAGGGUUCCUGUCCAACGUUAAUCGGGGCAGGGUGAGUCGACCCCUAAGGCGAGGCCGAAAGGCGUAGUCGAUGGGAAACAGGUUAAUAUUCCUGUACUUGGUGUUACUGCGAAGGGGGGACGGAGAAGGCUAUGUUGGCCGGGCGACGGUUGUCCCGGUUUAAGCGUGUAGGCUGGUUUUCCAGGCAAAUCCGGAAAAUCAAGGCUGAGGCGUGAUGACGAGGCACUACGGUGCUGAAGCAACAAAUGCCCUGCUUCCAGGAAAAGCCUCUAAGCAUCAGGUAACAUCAAAUCGUACCCCAAACCGACACAGGUGGUCAGGUAGAGAAUACCAAGGCGCUUGAGAGAACUCGGGUGAAGGAACUAGGCAAAAUGGUGCCGUAACUUCGGGAGAAGGCACGCUGAUAUGUAGGUGAAGUCCCUCGCGGAUGGAGCUGAAAUCAGUCGAAGAUACCAGCUGGCUGCAACUGUUUAUUAAAAACACAGCACUGUGCAAACACGAAAGUGGACGUAUACGGUGUGACGCCUGCCCGGUGCCGGAAGGUUAAUUGAUGGGGUUAGCGCAAGCGAAGCUCUUGAUCGAAGCCCCGGUAAACGGCGGCCGUAACUAUAACGGUCCUAAGGUAGCGAAAUUCCUUGUCGGGUAAGUUCCGACCUGCACGAAUGGCGUAAUGAUGGCCAGGCUGUCUCCACCCGAGACUCAGUGAAAUUGAACUCGCUGUGAAGAUGCAGUGUACCCGCGGCAAGACGGAAAGACCCCGUGAACCUUUACUAUAGCUUGACACUGAACAUUGAGCCUUGAUGUGUAGGAUAGGUGGGAGGCUUGGAAGUGUGGACGCCAGUCUGCAUGGAGCCGACCUUGAAAUACCACCCUUUAAUGUUUGAUGUUCUAACGUUGACCCGUAAUCCGGGUUGCGGACAGUGUCUGGUGGGUAGUUUGACUGGGGCGGUCUCCUCCUAAAGAGUAACGGAGGAGCACGAAGGUUGGCUAAUCCUGGUCGGACAUCAGGAGGUUAGUGCAAUGGCAUAAGCCAGCUUGACUGCGAGCGUGACGGCGCGAGCAGGUGCGAAAGCAGGUCAUAGUGAUCCGGUGGUUCUGAAUGGAAGGGCCAUCGCUCAACGGAU